AAUAGCUUUACAUGUAUUGUUUGUUUACUAAAAGCCAGCGUCAAAUGAAUAUUCAGGUAAAAAAGAAGAUGUGGUGUUAUUGCCAAUGAGACAACUGUCAACAAGAGACCAAAAUGACACAGAAAUUAACAUCUAUAGGUCACCGUACGGCCUUCAACAAUGAGCAAAGCCCAUACCGCAUAGUCAGCUAUAAAAGGCCCCGAAAUGACAAUGUAAAACAAUUCAAACGAGAAAACUAACGGCCUUAUUUAUGCUCUAUUUUUAAAUCC
rnacentral:lncRNA from 1 species